UACGAAGGGGGCUAGCGUUGCUCGGAAUUACUGGGCGUAAAGCGCACGUAGGCGGCUUAUUAAGUCAGGGGUGAAAUCCUGGAGCUCAACUCCAGAACUGCCUUUGAUACUGAGGAUCUUGAGUUCGGGAGAGGUGAGUGGAACUGCGAGUGUAGAGGUGAAAUUCGUAGAUAUUCGCAAGAACACCAGUGGCGAAGGCGGCUCACUGGCCCGAUACUGACGCUGAGGCACGAAAGCGUGGGGAGCAAACAGG
rnacentral:rRNA from 1 species